rnacentral:ncRNA from 1 species
AGGAUAGAGGUGCGGGACUCAUCAGUACCGGGAAACCAUGGCUGGGCAGCCGUUUUCCGGAAAAGGGGGAACCGCCGAAGGAUAUCCGGCCCGCCCAUGGCCGUAUCCUGGGACGACGCAGAAUAUGCGGCGUACUGUCACGUAUGUGGAGCGCUAUCGA